AUUUUAUUAUAAUUGACUGAAGAAAUUCAUUUUCUCGCAACCGAUAUCAAUAUCUUCUGAGAUAAGUAAACUAAAUAUCUGAAAAAAAAAGUUAAGUAAGAAAGGUAACUUAGUGACAAAAUGUUUCGAACAAGUGCCCUGACUGUUCUUCUGAUUACCUUCGCUUGUUAUUGGUGCCAGGAUGAAUCGAGUAGAGCUAUACGAUCGGCAGAUCUUGAGAACAUGAGUUUGGAAGAGUUUCAAAACUUGGCGACUAAUCACCCAGAAGAACUGAGUCAAAUGUUUUCCACCCCAGAAGAGGCCAGGGAUUUUGUCAAUCAGCUCAACCAGAGAGUUAACUCCCAACAAAAAUAAAAAACCACUUGGAAUACACUUGAGACGUGCAGAUCAGAAAAAAUACUAACUGAAAGAAAAUUGGUUUAAAACCUCUUCCGUGGGUUUCGGUUAUAGACUUGAAAGCUUCAGUGAAUUGAAUUAAACAAUAAUUUAUCGCA